rnacentral:rRNA from 1 species
CCUACGGGAGGCAGCAGUGAGGAAUAUUGGUCAAUGGGCGAGAGCCUGAACCAGCCAAGUCGCGUGAGGGAGUACUGCCCUAUGGAUUGUAAACCUCUUUUGUCGGGGAGCAAAAGCCGGACCUGUCCGGCUGUGAGAGUACCCGAAGAAAAAGCAUCGGCUAACUCCGUGCCGGCAACCGGCGUAAUACGGAGGGUGCGAGCUUUAUCCGGAUUUAUUUGGGUUAAAGGGUUCGGUGGGGGGUUUUUAAGUCUGCGGUAAAAUCGGGGGGGUAAACCCCAGCCAGCCGUUGAGACUGGGGGGCUAGAGUGUGCGAGAGGUAGGCGGAAUGCGUGGUGUAGCGGUGAAAUGCAUAGAUAUCACGCAGAACCCCGAUUGCGAAGGCAGCAUGCCGGUGCACAACUGACGCUGAGGCACGAAAGCGUGGGGAUCGAACAGGAUUAGAUACCCGAGUAGUC